rnacentral:rRNA from 1 species
UACAGAGGGGGCAAGCGUUGUUCGGAAUUACUGGGCGUAAAGGGCGCGUAGGCGGCUUUUUAAGUCAGACGUGAAAUCCCCCGGCUUAACCUGGGAACUGCGUCUGAUACUGGGAAGCUUGAGUUCGGGAGAGGGAUGUAGAAUUCCAGGUGUAGCGGUGAAAUGCGUAGAUAUCUGGAGGAAUACCGGUGGCGAAGGCGGCAUCCUGGACCGAAACUGACGCUGAGGCGCGAAAGCUAGGGGAGCAAACGGG